ACUCGUUAAUUCAUUAAUGGUGUCUCUCUCUCUCUCUCUCACAUACACACACACACACACACACACACACAUAUUCUUUUUCUCUCUCCAUCUUUGUAGAGCUAAAAUAACUUUGGAUUCUAAAACAGAGCUAGAAUAACUCCAGAUUUACAAAUCCAGCUAUUAUUUCAUGUUGCAACAAAUCAGACAUUGAUUUUCAAAAUGUUGGUUAUUACAAGAUCUUGAGUUUUGAUUUGCUUUUCUGAAAAGGAUUUUGACAGUAAUAUGUUGGGUUUAACUUCCUAGAAUUUGAGCUUCUCAAUGUAUAGGCACAGUGAGAGAAUAAAGCAGGACUGGCCCCUACUUGGGGCAGUUUCAGGAGGGAGCUCUGCUGGCCACUGGCCACACAAGCCAGUGGUGCAUCACAGAGUACCAGCACUGCAAGGAUGGGGUGAGGGCAAGGAAGGGGCCACAGAAAACACCUACCAUCUUCCCAGCAGGUGUGGGGCCCAGCUAGCCCAGGACCAGAGGGAUCUUUCACCCCAGGUGAGGAUUUGUCUUGGCAUUGUCAAGGCUAAGCUUGGAAUAUCUCUAGUCAAGAGCAGUCCUGAAAGAUAGAGCCAGGGGAGACCUUAGAAACCAUCCAGCCCAUGGCUUCAUUUUGUAAAUGAAGAAAGAAAAACAAACAAAAACAAAAAUCACCUAAUUGCAUUCUCCAAAAAACAAGAGAAGUUGAAUAGCUUGUUCUGUUUCAAAUAGUAACAAGUAACUUACACUGGAAACAACCUCAGUUCUGCCGAAACAACACUAUCACUAUUUCUUCAUGUAAGAGCUAGUCUCUCUUCCUCAAGUUUUACAGAUCAAAACUCAGGACCAAGUUUUCCCUCAACUACCAGCAACCUGCAUCUUCCAUCCAUUUCUUUGGGAAUCAGGCACAUUAAUCCAAAAACAAAAUAAAAGUAUCUCAUUUAGAACUCCUUUCAAAUCAAGCAGACUUGGGUUUGAACCGCCUUUCCUUCCUGGCUGGAAAGCUCCAGGCAAAUCACCUGACCUCUCUGAACUUCAUCCUUAUAAAGUAGAUGGCACGGACUUCUUCCUACUGUGGCUGGUUGGAGAAGUAAUGUUUGUAAAGCAUUUGGCCCACUGUUGAACACACGGAAAUGCUCAAUCAGGAUGGGCACCGUGGCUCAUACCUGUAAUCCCAGCACUUUGGGAGGCAAAGGCAGGUAGAUCACUUGAGGUCAGGAGUUCAAGACCAGCCUGGCCAAUAUGGUUAAACCCCAUCUCUACUAAAAAUACAAAAAUUAGCUAGGUAUGGUGGCACAUGCCUGUAAUCCCAGCUACUCAGGAGACUGAAGCAGGAGAAUUGCUUGAACCCAGGAGGUGGAGGUUGCAGUGAGCCGAGAUCGCACCACUGCUCCAGCCUGGGCGACAGAAUGAGACUCUGUCUCAAAAAAUAAAAAUUUUUUGUUAAGAAAGAAAUGCUCGGGCCGGGCGUGGUGUCUCACACUGGUAAUCCCAGCACUUUGGGAGGCCAAGGCGGGUGGAUCACAAGGGCAAGAGAUCGAGACCAUCCUGGCCAACAUAGUGAAAUCCUGUCUCUACUAAAAAUACAAAAAUUAGCUGGGUGUGGUGGUGGGCACCUGUAAUCCCAGCUACUUGGGAGGUUGAGGCAGGAGAAUCACUUGAACCCAGGAGGCGGAGGUUGCAGUGAGUGGAAAUUGCACCACUGCACUCCAGCCUGGCAACAGAGCAAGACUCUGUCUCAAAAAAAAAGAAAAAAGAAAAAGAAAAAAAAAAAUGCUCAAUCAAUGACAGAUAUCCUUAUGGUCAUUUACUCUGUGCUGUUCUGCUGUCUGGGGAUGGUUGAUACAGAACUUCAAGCCAUAUUGCAGUUGGUGUGUAUGGUCUCCUGACUGUCCAGCAUGACACAGCUAACACUAGAGAACACUAGAGCAGAGCCCAAUAGACAGGCCCUGCUACCCCCUCCCCUUGCACCUGGUGACAGUGGGUGGUUUGUAGCUGAGAAGAUUUGGUCUAAAGUUUCAUAGUUUAUGUGAGCCACUGCCCAAUUAGCUGUUCUUGCUGUGACUAGGAUGGCAGGCAAGUAAAAACGUGAAACCAGCUCAUAUAAAUGCUGGGUUGACUUGGCCCUCAUCACAUAUGGAAUUUGAGCUUUUGUCUGUGACAGUCAACAAGACCAAAUUUCUAUAUGAAAUUUUAAAUACAAACUCUACAGUUAGGAGAAACAAGCAUAGGCCAUAGUUAGUACUCUGGGAGGUGUUUGGUCUUAUAAAGUAUACAUUUGCUUUCUAUGGGAAAUGAAGAAAUUUUUUUAGCAUGCAUGAGACUCCUCUGACAGAUUGAGAAAAAAAUAAUAAUAAGAUCCCUAAACUAAGGUUCAGUAGUACUAUUUUUUUGUGACAAGAUGCUGAUACAGUGUAUGACCCCAUUUUUUUUUCACAGCAAUUGAAAAACAUCUCCACUAAAAUAUGUUAACAUUCCAUUUUCCACUGACCAGUUUGGCAGAAACCAAUUCAUAAACUGGGUCAACCUAAGAAGUGGGAGGGUUAUAGGAAAGAGGCUGGAUAGAAAGAAAUAUUAUCAUUAAUAAGACAGAAGAAUCAAUGCUGUUUGGGAGCAAAAUGCUGGUUAUAUAAAUCCAAGAACAAUGGAAUGAAAAUAAAUGGAACUUCCUCUAAUGAAUCACACUUAAAUUGAAUCUCUUAUUUACCAAUUCUGAAUGAAAGUUUGUAUUAACAGCUGAAGAUGUUCCAUCUGUUUUUGAGAGACAUAAUACCACCUUGAACUUUUAUUCUCCAGCCAUGCAAAAUAAUAGAUUUGAGAUAUAAGAAGCUUAAGAAUUUGGAUACAUUUGAACACACUCUCAACACUGUUACAAAUUAUGAUUAUCCAGUUUACUUUUAAGUGCCCUUUCUUUAUGGAAGUCUUGCUAAAAUAAGAUACAUGAGAGAAAUCGAUACAGAAAAUUGUGUCCUUGUUGCCGUGGCAACAGCCACACGAUGUACACAUGGAGUUACACAAGAAAGGUCACAGAUGAGGUAAGAACCAGAAUUCAUAGCUGCCUAUGGCUACUCAGGAAAGAAUUCCAGGCGAGGCAGGGGGGGCAAUAUUGUAGCUCUGUCUAUAUGCUUCUUCUGUUUUGUUUUGCAUAACCUUAGGAGACUCACUAGAGAGGCCUGCCUUGCUUGCAUGGUGGUGAGUCUGUAAGAAUUCUUCAGCACUGAUUUAUGGAGCUGACCACAUUUUCCAUAAACUCAAAAUGACUCCAUCCAGGCAUGUGCUCAUGAACAAGAGUCACAGGUUCUGAAUUUUUUCUUUAAAACAAAACAAAAACAAAAAUCACCUAAUUGCAUUCUCGGUUACAUUCUAAGUUGCUUCAGACACAUGUUGACCUCACAGAAACCUGGCAAAUUUUCCUCCUUAGUUCCUGUCUCCUUCAUCCUCCCCCCAGCUACUCCACCCCAGCCCUCCAGAUGCAGACACAAGCCCACCAACAGAGCCUCUGAGGCUGCUGAAAGGCCUCCAGCUCAGCACAGAGCAGGGGCUCAGGGAGCCAGAGCCUAGAGCCACCGCCCUUCCCUGGGAUUGGCACCCACCUCCUCAGAACCAUCCAAGCCCCAGGUCAGGGGUGGCAGCAGGGAACACGAGUGUUUUCCAUCUGCCAUCACCCGUCUCCCUCUUUUUGCCUGCGGUGGGCUCAUGGUCCCAUUGUUCCUUGGAGCCCACCAGGAAAUGCUUGGGCCAACUUAAAAGGGAAAGUGCCAAAGGAAACCACCUAAAUAGCAAACCAGUAGCACAUCUGAUUCUAAGAUUGUUAAAAUUUACUAAGCACAUGGUGUCCCCUGCUCCCAGUAGGUAGCCACCACAGUGCUCCUUGUAAAACCAAACCUCAACACACCAUGCCUCCACUUCAGACUUGCAAAAACUGUGGGAAAACCCAGAAUCCUUAGCUUGAUUUAGAAAGGCAAGCCUUUCCAUUUCAUACGCUACUUACCCCAGAUUCCUUCAUCACCUCCAAAUGGGCUCUGAGCACGUGGAAUUAAUUGCUGGUCAUGCCCUGAACAUGCCAGGACAUUUUGUGUCUCUGUACCUUUGCUAGGUUUCUCUGCUUGGAAUGCCUUUCCCAUCCUCUCUACCGAGUGAACCUAGCUUGGUAAUAUUGUUCAUUGUUCCCACAGUUUCCUGUAAAUACAAAAAGUUGCUGGCCAGACUCAUGCUUGAAAGGGGGCAUUGCCCAAGCAGAACACAUUUGACAGAGCCUAGGUGAGAAGGUUUGGAAGUUAGAACCUCUGUCCCAGGAUGGUCCAGGAUGGUCCCCAAGGCUUCCUGCACAGCUUGGCCACUCUUUGAGUUCAGAAAAUUUGCUCAUCUUUCAAGGGCAAAUGGUUGAAGGAAUUUAGAAUGUUCUGAGAAAGAACGCUUCAAGGGGUCAUGAGAGCUUUUUAACUUACUUGGUCCAUGAUGAUAUGGCGUGUCAUUCCACUUUGCAAGCUGUUUCUUAUCACGUCACCAUUGUCAAGGAAUAAUCUUUCCAUGUCACUACAUAUCCUUGAAUAAUAUCAUUUUAAUGACCAUGUCAUAUUACAUUGCAUAUCUUCCCUUUUUGGAGAUUGAUUUUCAAGUAUCUAUUAUUAUAAAUGAAGCUGCAGUCAGUAUCCUUAUUGCCAAAUCAUUGUGCACAUUCACAAAUGUUUCCUUAGAAUAAAAGGUCCAGCUUUCUACUGGAUCAAAUAGUGUGCAAAUUUUUAAAGCUUUGAUACAAAUGGCCAAAUAAUUGCCCUUCAAAAGAUUAUACAAAUUAACCCUCACAUUAGCCCCCUAUGAAACGCCCAUCUCCCCAGAUGCUCCUCAAUAUUAUUAACGUACCUAUUUGAUUGAUAGGUGCUAAUUUGUAUUUUUUAUUAUUACUGAGGUAGAACGAUUUUUUUAAUGUUUAUUUUCUCGUUUGUCAAUUGGUUUGACUUGGCUCAUUUUUCCACUGGAUAUUUUAGUGUUGGUUUCCUGUGAUCAUUUUCUUAACCCAUCUUCAUUCAUAUAUUAAUCAAAUGUUUUGAAAGCCUACUAUGUAUCAGAUCCUGUGCUUGCAUUAAGUAUGUGGUACUUAAUCCUUAUGACAUUUAAAGUCUAACCAUGUAAUAUAUGUCCAAAGUUUUUUCUAGUUUGCCAUUUACCUUUUAACUUUUUAGAAAUAUAUUCAAGUUUUCUACAAUUUUACAGUCAAAUCUAUAAAUAUUUAUGAUUCCUGCCUUUUGUUUCAAAUUUAGAGAAGCCUCCCCUACUUCAAGAGAACAUACAUUUUCACAAAAAUUUUCUUCCACACUUCCACCCCCUCGGUCUGUUUUUGAUGGUAAUGCGAAUUGUCACCUUUUCUGCAUCUUCCUGAGUAUUUUAGUGUAGAUUUGGGAAAGGCUCCUUUGGAAGCUAUGGGCCAUAUGUUAUAUUAAAUGAGAAGUCCUAGAAAAUUAUCUUGAAUGCCUUGAAGUGGAUGUAUUAAUAGAAAGUGACUUGGAUUUACUCUGGGCCAUCCCAUUGAACAGAGCUAGCCCCAUAGGUAGAAACAAUGGGGAAACAAAUUUCAUCAGAAAGAAUUGAAGGAUGCAAGUUUCAACAACACAACGGGCUGCCCCAGAGACUAAUGCUCCAGGUAACUAAUGUUACCAAACACGGAUAAGACAAAUUAACCACUAGGCCAGGACACAGGGGAUUCCUGUAGCAGAUCAAUGGUUCUCAAACUUGAGCAUCAGAAUCACCUAGAAGGUUUGUUAAAGCACAGCUUGCUGAACCCAUGCUCGGAGUUUCUGAUUCAGAAGUUCUGGGGUGGAGCCUGGGAAUUAGCAUUUCUAACAAACUCCCAUGUGAUGCUGAUGCUGCUGGUCUGGGGAUUACACUUUGAAAACCAGUAAGAUAAGGAACCAAACAAACUUCAGAGUACCUCUCACCCUGAGAGUCUGGGGUCCUAGGCAAUAUUUCUAUACUGCUUUGGCCACCAAGCCGCCCCUUUUCUAUAUUUCUCCAUAGAGCACCUAUUGACACAACUGGAGAAUAACUAGUCUACCUUAAAUCUAAAUAUUAAGCCUCAGUGAGUUGUGAAGAAAUCUCCCAUCUUCACAUAUUCUGUUCCUAGAUUACUAAUUUCAAACACAGAAACAUAAGGGAAUUCAGAGAUCAGAGCGUGGACUCCAGUGGUUUUCAAUGUGUUUGCACAUUGUUAUCACCUAGAGAGCUUUCAAGGUCCCCCCCUAAAGGUUCUGUUUAAUUGUUCUGUGAUGAGGUCUGGGCACUUAUAGGAUCACCUGGGAAUCACAAAGCCUCCCCAGGUGAUUCUAAUGGGCAUCUAAGGUUGAGAAGCAGUGAGGUGGUCCAAUUCCCUCUUUUUCACUCAGGGCAGCAUCUUCUCUUUCCUUUUUGAAACAAUUUAAAGGCAACUCCCCAUGUUCCUUCAGAAACCCCAAGAGUAAGAUAGGCUGAUCACACUCUUCAUGGGCUUUUAACAGUCCCUUUCCUAUCAGGAAGAUGGUUAAUCUAGACUGAGGCUGCCAUGUCAUUGCUACUGCUUGAGUAAAGAAGAUGGAAAAGAGAAAAUAGAACUCAGCCUCAUAUGUCUUUUCUGGAUGGAAUUCAAUCAUCUACCAACCAGCCUGAGCCCUCCCCAGUCACUUUUACUCCAAAUCGAACUCCAUCCCACUUCACGUGCUCCCAGAGAACCCACUGGGUUUGGAUGUCAUCUGUUUUCAGAUCUGGCAUCAGGAGGCCGGUACAUUCCAUUACUAUCUGCAAGAACAAAAUACUAAAGCUCACUCAGGGCUUGUUUUGCAAGCCUGGAUCUCCUUGCAACCAGAAGAGACCCAGGGAAACACACACGUAAAUGUACAUAAACAAUGUUUGAAACUCAUCUGAAGCCUCAGAGGUUGUGAAAUCCUCCCCAGCUGUUUCCAAUAAGGGCGUGAGGCCAGUCACAUGGGCACCAUGUCUCCCUACUGUCGCAGAGGCGAGAAUAGCCUGGGCAGGUUAUCCUCCAGGAGAGAGGUUAUCCUCUGCCCAGUCCUUCUAAAGCAGAUAAGCCUCCUGUAGCAGGCCUCAGAGAAAGUGUCUGCACUCUUGCAUUCUCUCUCCUCUCUUCUCUCUCCUUCACAUUUCCUGCAUUCCCUCUUUCUUCUAACCCCUUUCCUUUUUUUCUUUUCCCUGUUCACUGCCAAUUUCUAAGGCCUGCCAUGGCUGCUUUCCCUCAACAAAAACCAAUUGCACUCCCACUAAGAAUCCAUUUCUGGGCUGAGCACUAGGGAUAUCCAUUAGCAGAGGACUAAACUCUGGCUUCCAGGAGUUCAUGUAUGUAUGUAUGUAUGUAUGGUGUGCAAGAGAAGAGAGUGUCAUGCACUGUAUGAACUGCAAAUGUUUACAGAAGCAUAAACCCAUUCACAGUAACUUGGGGUAAUGAUGAUCUCCAUUUUAAAGAACAGAAAUUGAGGCUCAGGGAAAAUUACUAACUUUUCCAAGGACACACAGCUGGUAAGGAGGUCUGGGGCUUGAAUUUAGGACUUUCAGACUUGAAAGUCAACACUAGGGAUUCCUGAACUCCUUCAUGCAUUCAACCCAUAGUUGUUAGAUGUCUUCUAAGAGCCAAUGAGCACUGUAUUAGUGCUUGAUAUUCAAGAUUAAUGAAUGAGCCCUGUCCCUGCCCUCGAGGAACAGGGACAAACAGGAAGCUCCCAAACACUGCCUGGUGUGAAAGGCUCUGUGAUGGAGCUGAGCACAUGAGGUGUGGGAGCUAUACCCAGGAAAGGCAUCUCACCAGCCUUGGAGUCCAAAUGCCUUCUUGAAUGGACAUUUAAGCUAAGACAAGAAGGGGGAAUGGAGUUGGGGAGGUAGAAUAUUCUAGUGACAGGGAAGCUUGCAUACAGAUCUGCAGGUGAGACUGUGGCUCCUUCAGGGAGACACAAGGAGCAGGGUACAGAGGAGGACAGAGUGGGAGGCACUGAGAGGAGGGACUGUGGUGAAGAGGAACCUGAGUUGCCGGCCGUGGGAGCCUGCUCUGCCAGCCUGACGAGGCUGUACUCCACCCUGAGGACAGUAGAGACUUACUGCAAGAGUUUUAAGCAGAGGCGCAAUCGGAUGUGCAUUUUAGAAAGGUCGCACUGGCUGCAGUGUGGACAUAGCGGCAGUGAGAGAGGCUGGCACCCUGAAGUGCAGAGUGGUGGGCAAGGAAGACAGCUUGGAUUCACAAGAUAUUGAGCAAAUAAUCACAGAUUUGGUAACUGCCUGGGUGUAGAGGAUGAGAGGGUAGAAAGUGUGAAGGAGGACCUCCAGGAUUUGGCCCAAGCGACAUUGCUGACUGUGCUGCCUGCCAUUCACCAGGAUGAGGACAGCUUUGCGAGGGAAGAUGAGGACGUCACUUUUUAACUUGUGGAGUUCACAGUGCCUGUGGGACAUCCAAACAAAAAGGACCUGCAGCAGGUCAGGACCAGGGGGAAGCAUGAAGGCAUCUAGGGCAGGAACUCUCUGGGUUGCUCACUGUCAGGGUUGUGUGAAAGUAGGGACCUGCGAGUACAUGCCUCCUUAAAUUUUGUGCCCUAGACACCUCGCAUGCCUCACCCUAGUCAGGGGGCAGUUUUGCUCCAGUGAGAGUUUUGGGCUGCAGGCAAAGAUCUGAGAGUCAUUGGCCAUGGCAGUUGAGACCAAUGUGACUAGAGGGGAAACCAGGGAGAGGGGUAGAGAGAAGAAGUUAAGCACUGAACCCUGAGGGUCACAUCCUUUAAGUCAGGGUGGAGAAAAGAAAUAGAGCAAGAAGACGACUAAGAAGGACCAGCCAAGAGAAAGAGAAGUUGUAAGAGGAAAGUCUGGGGUCAUGGAAGCCAAGGGAAAAUAAUACAUUAUGGAGGAGGGUGGAGUGUCAAGUGAUGGGAAAUUAAGAUGCAAACUGAGAGCAAUCAUCUAAUAAGAUUAGCAGUAAGGAGGUUAUGGUGCCCUUAGUGACCCGAGCUCUGUGGGAUGAUGGGGUUGGGAGCAAAGCUUAACAAACAAUGGGAGGGAGAGCCAAGGCAGUAGCUGGAGGAGAUCUAGAAUUGGAAAGAGUUCUUUGUCUUAGUAAGACUUGAGCGUGAUUAAGUGCGUGUGGCAGAGAUCCAGUAGAGGAAGGGGUUGAAGACAAGAACUCACUGUUAGACUGCAGGAACUCUUAGGAGAAGGGGUUGGAGGGCUUAGGAGGAAGUGCCAGUCCUCCUUAGUGACAUGGGUUGUAGAUCCCAGGUAUGAGUGAGAGGGCAGGAAGUGAGGACAUCCCUGUGGGAAGUGAUGGGCUCUGUUCUCCCUGUGAUGUGGCUGGAGGAGUGGAGGAGCUGGAACUGGAGCUCCUGGAAACAGCCACACCUUGGGAACCCCAUUGCUCCUAUGCUGGCAGCACUUCUCCACAUUCCAGAGUGAAUGUCUCAGGAUUAAAUAAAAUGGUAGGUAUAAAUAAUUUGAAAAGAUGGGAGCUUAUUUUCUUCCCUUCCUUCUCCCUGAAAACUGCCAUUGAUUUCAGAGAAUUUUAAUUACCUCUUAACCUGUAGGAAAAACUUUUUCUCAGAAUUAUUUUAUGUUCAAACCAGCAAUGACCAAAAGAACCAAGUUAUCUACAUAUUGAAGUCUUACAUGAAAGUCGUUUUUCUUGCACAAUAAACAAUUAAGUUUACAUUAGCUCUUUAUGUUGUGUAAAUGGACAUCUUCAGAAUUCCUAUCUGACACCAGGUAUAAGGUCCCAACAGAUCUGGAGGGAAAGUCUCCUGACCUUUUAUAAAUUUUUGUAAGAAACGGAUCAUUUUAAGAAAAAGGAAGAAAAAAGAGCAAAUUAUAGGAAAUGUUCCUAGAGGGUGUGAUUUAUUCUGGCACAGCCAUCUUCCCUGGAUGUUUGAAUUCUCUGUAGUAUUCAUUCAGUUCUCACCCUUGGAAGCCUCUCCUUUGCUGUCUCAUUGGAGGGGGACAUGAGUACUUAGAAUUUUUGGCUGAGUUAGCUGAAUUUAAGGAAUAAAAAGUUCAAAACACUCUCUGUCCACAGCAAAAACCAACUGUACCCAAAACCUGCAAAGUUAACUUUUUUCAGAGAUGUUAAACCCAAAGUUGAUGCUGCAAAAUAUACCAUCUUGGGAUUUUUUUUGCACCAACUUCUUUCUCCCAUGGUAGGAACUGUCUCUGAGUAAAUACGUAUGAAAGCAAUUGCUAUGGUUGAGCAAUCUUCCUCUCCCUCUCUCUUUCCCCCUCCCUCUCCCUCUCUUCCAAUCCUCACAAUCUGAUCCCCCUUUUUCCACAAGCAUUACACACUCACAUUCACACACAUUCCUCCUCCUCCUUAUUAUCACCAUCAUCAUCAUCAUCAUCAUCAUUUUGUAGCUUCUUUCAAUUUCAACUUGUAGGACUUUCAACUUCAGAUUGUCUCAUCUCCCAAACAGCUGCAACAACAGAAGGUCGAGUCCUGGAAUCAGGUUGCAAAUAGCAAACAGAGAAGUAAAUGCUAAGGCUGAACCAGACAGGGAUGGGAAUAAAGCAACCCUGUUCAAAUUCUCCGACCUCAUUUUUUCCCUUCCAAACAAAAUCAGGAUUGAGGGAGGUAGGGAUUAGCUCUAGGGUCAGAAUUUUACCCAAGUGUGUAAUAUUUUAGGAGGUUUGCUACUUUGUCUAAGCAUGAUGAUCAUGUCUAGCCACUUGGCUUCUGCGGGCCUGCUCCUCCAGCUGAUGGCACCAAAAAAGAUCAUCUCGAGGGACAUUCAGCAUCUCCGUGAUGGGCCUCAAUUAAGAAUCAUCAGAAUCCAUGCUGGUGGGAAGUUCUGUUCUGGCCAGAAAGUAUUGGGUUAGAUUAUAGAUGGCAAAAUCUGACCUAGGAAAUAGGCUUUUGAACAGUGUGGGGAAGAGCCAGCCUGCUAUAAAACAUCCACACACACCCAUCUUCGUUCAGCAUCUCCAUGACCACCCCAACUCAACCUGACCCUCAGUCUCGGAGUUGGACUGGCAGUUCCUCAUAAUCCCAGACCCUUCAUUUUAGAGGCACCAAAGCUGAGGUCUGGAAAGGUGGUCUGGAGAGAUUCCCGAGCCCUCCCAGGUCCAUUAUCUUAUCUGUUCCCCAUCACCUUCUUACUUUAUCCUCUUUUUAAUAUAGGAAAGAUGAGGCUCAGAUAAGAUCUCUGCUCUUUUCAAGGUCACAAAGAGUGUUGGUGGAAAUGGCAAGACUGGAAACCCACCAGCUCGACACUGCCUGGCUCUCCUUGAGUCCUCACCCCAGGCCAUGAGAGGAGGAUAAGCAUCCAGACUCAGCCUUAUCUCUUGAGGAGAAGGCAGAGUUAGUCCUUGCCGCCCAAUCCCUUCCCUUCCUGUCCUCCUACCUCUUCCCACCUCCCAGUACCUUUCCAUUUUUAUAUCCUGCCCAAGAUGACAUACCCAUUGAUAUCCUCCCACAUGGGGCUGCUCUCCUGCACAGGAUGCUGUGCUCCCAGAUCACCUCAUGCUCUCCCUGAUUCCACCUCUCGCUGCCUCCCACUUUACCACCAACACUGUGUCUAGGACAGAAAUUCCAUUCAUCCAGUUAAUACAUCCUGAGCUCCCACUCUCCAGCAGGCACCAAGCUAGGCAGUGGGGAUUUAGCAUGAACAAGGCGAGAUCCCUGCCCUUGUGGAGUGUACACUGGAGUGGUCAGAAAAGAUCACUAAAUUACAGCUCCACAUGGUAGAUAGUAUGAGGGGGAGUUUGGAGUUCUCUGGGAGCAUAGAGCCAGAAGAUUUAACCCAGGCUAGGGCAUCAGGGCAUACUUCCAAAGAGAAGAGACCAUUUGGCUGAGAUCCGAAGGACAAACUCUCCCAGUGCAGGGAGAGAAGGGCCGCCUUCUAGUUGGAGGAACAGCAUGUGUAAAAGGCCAGAAGGGAGAAGAACUGAGAGAGGACACACAGGCCUGCAACCAGGGAGGGUAGGGAGUGCAGCAGCCCCCACCUGCAAGCUCCACCUUCUCCAGUCUUUGUCCACCCAAAUCCUUCAGGCACUCAGUACUCAGCCAAAGCCCAAGACCUUCUCCCAGUCAAGGCUCAUUGUCUGGCCCUUCCUUCCUCCUCCGCUUACAGCCACAAAGUUUAGCACCAAGUUAAUUUUAACCAAUACUGACUUUUCACUCCCUGAAUAAGUUGUAAGCAAUUUGAGGGAAUGAACCAUGGCUUUUUUUUUUUUUUUUAACUUUCCCUCACAGCACUGAGGACCUAGCUCAAUUUGUUUCCUUGUCCCAGGGAGUAUGGUUUUUUUCUGCAACCUCCAGGCCACAGCUGUUUGCAAACUUCAUAGGAAACUGCAUUUGAGUCACAGGCAAGGGGACAUCUGAAUGAAUCCUCCGUCUCUUAAUAAGGAGAGAGAAUUCACAAGGUCUUCUAGGGACAUGUCCAGAUAAAAUGAGGCUGAUUAAAACUUUAAAACACUAAACUUUUAUUAUAAUUGCUAUUCAUACUUUGUCAUUGCCAUUUAUUAAUAACUUUUCUUUAAGUUUGUUUGAAAAUAGAAAAUUCAUUUUUAAAAAACUCUCCAAGGCUUUACCAGUCUCACUUUACAAAUUCGUUCCUAUAACAUUUGUUUAAUAUUAGUGUUUUUCCAUUUUUUUUCUUUUUGGCUGAUACCAUUGAGAGCAGUGUCACGUUGAGAAUCCACAGUGAUGACAGAGCUAGUUGUGAGGGUGCUCAUUCCAUUCCUCUAGCAUUCAGCACCUCUGUCCAUUUCUGUGUUUGCCCCCAGCGUCUGAAUUUGGUUGCUUCACUGAAUGGUGUGGCCCCACCAGCUGACACCCAGGCAUUGACUGGCCUCAAUUACUGCAACACCUAUGUUUCAAGGACUCUGUGGCCCUGACUUAAGUACAAGCUUUAAAUGGGAAUAAAUCUUUUAUAAGCCUUUCCAUUUACUUUCCUGCUUAUUAAAGGUGAAUUGUAAUGGAAAACCCUAAAUGUCACAGAGUCUGGAAAAUUGAAAUAAUAAGGGGCAGCAUUCUCCUUAGUGGUAUAACUAGUAAAAGUGGGCCUAAUGGAAAGUCCACCGUGGAAUCAUCUGUGUUUCUAUGCAACAAAAUUAUUUUCCUUCUUUCUCUAACAAGGGAAGUAGUUCUGACCAACAAGGUUGGCUGUCUUAGGCAUGGUGGUGGAGAGCAAUGGAAAGAUGAGUGUGUAGUGGGAGCAAGCUUAGCAGAGUUCCUGAAGCCAUUGCUUUAGUGUCCCACCACAUCUGUAGGCCUAGGGGAUGCCAUGCAGUCCUCCAGAGAUAGCCAAGGAAGCUGCAGAGCUGAGGCCACCCUCUGUGCUUGUAAACAAUAAGCACACCCCCCAAAAUCAGGAAUAAGCCCAUGAGAACUGCCCAUAUCCCAUGGUCCCACAGCACCUCAUCAGCUGCACUAGUGUGUUCUGCAGUAGAUCCACUGCUGGUGGGCCUCAAGUUGCAAAUAUAUUUAGUAAUGGAUCAAAAUAGAAUCUCUUAGCAAAAACUGGACCUUACAAGCAAUUUGCAUCAAGUCAGAAACCCAUACAUCUGUGUCCCACAGCAGGCCACCCUUAAGCAACAUGAAGGCUUCCAAAAAGGUUACCCUGCCCAUAUGAAAAUGCCAAUUUUAUCCAGCAACAUUGCUGUGUUUUCAAAUUUCUGUAGACGCCAAUGCUGUAAUGAAUGUUCUGACCCUCAGGGUGUCAUCCACAGCCAGGCUUUGUGCCUGUCUUUUGCAAAACUUACCCAAUUUCUGUCCAAAAAAAAAGUCCAAGACUAGGUCGAUAGUAGAUUUAUGUGUCAAAGGAGAACACAUAGACUUUGGAUAACUUUACUCCAAAAGAAUUCUCUUGCUCUCUCAAGCCUAUUCUGUUAAUAACAUGUUUAGUUCUAUUCCUAAGUUUGAUUUUUUUAUGGCAACAGUUUGACUAUUGAAAUUCUUUAGCUUUGUAAAACCAUGGCACAAACUGUUCCCCCAUGAAAAAACGCAGCUUUCCAUAAGGCUUCCCCAGAAAUACCAACAUUAGAAUGGGGGAUGUGAUUUGACUUUUUGUGAGUAAUCUUCCUAGCACUGCCCGAAGAGAGAGAAAAAGAGAGAGAUGCAGUUUCACGUACAGUUUUACAUGUAGUAAAGCAUCUGUGGAGAUCAGAGGAUAAAAAUAUUUCCAUGACAGGAACUUAAAAUUUUAAGAGAAUUUUCUUUUAAGCUCUUCACUGGCCAGUGGAAGAGUUGACCAUGGCUUUUUCCUUCAUGUGUAGAAAAACACUAGGCAACUUGGUAGUGAAGCAGGAUUUUUCUCGGCCAAUUUGCCAACUGGGACCUCCGCUGGCAACACCCCCCACACCCCACCCUGUGUUAUAGCUUGUACCCACAUUCAGCGGUUCCCAAGCUCUUGUCCCACAUCCAAGAAGAAUAAAGAUAUGCUGACAAUUUGAAGGUGGAGAAGAAUUUUAUUGAGCGACGGAACAGAUCUUAGUGGAGACAUAGUCAGGUGGUUUCUCUCUCCCCCAGUGUGGCUGAGUCUGGGGCUUUUUAUGAACUCAGAAUGGGAAGUGCAUGCUGAUUGGUUUGUGAGUAUGCAAAAAUGGUUAAAGCAAAGACAUUCAAAGGUAGGCACAACAGUGUAGAAAACCAAUUAGGAAAGGGUAGGUAUAUGUAAAAUAGAUAAAGGGUGGGAUCCAUCAGAGGAAAUUGUGUCAAAAAGGAAGAGGGGUUCUCAAUCCGGUCUGUGGAUUUGACUUGUAGCUUGGCUUUCAGGCUUUAAAUUCUUUUCAACUUGGAGGUGGGGUUUUGCUGGGGACCCACCCCUGUUUGCCUAGGCAUUUGUCUGCCCCCUGCUGCUGUCAGUGGGAUUACAAACUGACUCACAUUUUUAAAAAUUGUGGCCUCCCUUCUUACCCCCACAAGUAGCAAAAGAUGUUUUUAGAUCCUGAACAUCUCAAAAGUAAAAUCUAGAGCUGACUAUCCAAAAAGGCAGCCACUAGUCACAUGUGGCUAUUGAGCACCUGAAUGUGGCUAGUGAGAAAUGACAUGUGCUAUAAAUGCAAAAUAUACUCUGGAUUUUCAGGGAAGUAAUAUGAAAAAAAGAAUAGGAAAUAUUUCUUUAGUGAUUUUUAUAUUAAGCUGAAAUAACAUUCUACAUAUAUUGGGUUAAAUAAGAUAUAUUAGUAAAGUUAAUUUCACCUGUCUCUUUUUAUGUUUUAUAAAUGUGGUUACUAGAAAACUUAAAAGGCCCAUGUGGUUUAUGUUAUGUGUCUGUUGGACACGCUGGUCCAGAGGACUGGUCUGGAAGACACUUGUGAGAAGGGGGAAUGACAUGAUUUCCAUACAGGCCCUGAGUUCUUCAACUAUUUUGGUUUUUAUUCACAGUAAGAAUUUCAGAAAUUAUGGAUCUCUGCCCUUUCUGGUUUUCUAUUAGGUCAGCUGUGACUUUGCCUUUCUGGGCCAAUUCCUAUCCCAAACUUCUUAUUUUUAGGCAGAAGUCCUGCAUGCUCUAAGCCAGCAUGUUAGGUGUUUGGGGUGUUUUCUUUUGAGAUGGCAUCCCAUUCUCUUAACCCAGGCUGGAGUGCAGUGUCACUAUCACAGCUCACUGCAGCCCCGACCUCUCAGGCUCCAGUGAUCCUCCUGCCUCAGCCUCCCAAGUAGCUGAGAUUACAGGUGCCUGCUACCACGUUGUUUUAUUAAAGCAAACAAGCAUUCAAGGUCUCUCUACUGCUUCUUCCCUGCAACAUCAUCACAGAGAAGAACUUGCAUCCUUUAAAACCUUGUUCUAAGUAUCUGUACAUUUAUUGGAUUAUCUGAUCUACUUUAUCUUUGAAAAAUUCCUGAGAAGCAAAUAUUAUCCUCACUUUACAAAAAGGAACCUGAGUUGACUAGAGCAAUAAUGAUGGUUCAUGUUUGACGAGAGCCAUAUAAUUUACAAUUAUUUUCUAAUAUAUUUAUUCUGACCCUGUGACACAGUUGUUCCCAUUCCUGUUUUACAUACUGGGAAAUUAUCUUUACAGAGGGCUCGAGUGCCUGUGCCCCACAGCUGAUAAACAGAGGAACUAGCAUUUAUUCUUUCAACACAUGUUUAUUUGUUGUGCUAAACACUAGUAAACAAGGAUAUGGUCCUUUCAUGGAGUUUGUAUCCUAGGAUUCACAGCACCCAAGUGUUAAGUGCUCUACUAAGAAUCAAAACAGUGUGAUGAGUGGAAAGACAAUAGAUAUCUAGGCUGCAUGGUGGGAAAAGCCCUCUCUAAAGAGGCGACAUUGAAGAUGAGAUCUGAAUAACAAGAGGGAGCUGCUACGUUAAGAUCAGGGGACAGCAGCAGGCACAAGGCCUGCAAGGCUGGAAAGAGCUUGGCAUGUUGGAGGAACUCAGAGGCCAGCGGUGAUGGGUGGGCAGUAAGGUCAGAGACAGCAGGGGAGAUGGCCAUGCAGGCAGGCUUGUAACCUGAGGAAAGACAUUUGGAUUUUACUCUGGAUGUAACAUGGAGGGGAGGGCUUAGCAGGGGGGAGACAAGUGCCCUAGCAUCCUCCACACUUGAAUACUGCCUGCCUCUAAUUAACAUUCUACAAAGAUGACCAGGGAUGAAGUGGGAAGAAUCAGUUAUACAGAGACCAGAGUGAAGCCGGGAGAUCAGUGACAAGGUUGGAGUCCCGGAUGAGAGGCGAUGGUGGUAGAUGAGUGUGGACCCAGUAGAAAUGGUGAGAAGUGGAUGGAGUCUGAAGUUUUUUGGAGAUAAAGCCAAUGAGACUGGCUGAUGGAUGGCUUAUCCCUCUUUACACCUGACUGUCCCUCCAGCUCUCUUCACUCCUGCAGUGUCCAUCCAAAAACACUCUGCCCAGGGAAAUCUAAUUUCUGUUCACCCCGUAAUAAUGCCCAGAAGACAAAAUGAAACACUGACAGAUUGUCAUUAUUUAUCACCCCUUUGUUUUGCUUUGUUAAUUCAUUGUCCUGCCUAGCUGUUAGCGUCUUAAUUGUUCAUGUUGACCUUUAGAAACACAUUCAAGGUGAAUAAGGAGGCCUUGCUAUAUUCCAAAAUCGUGUCAGUGGGAAUAACCAAAAUGAUUUUAUUCUUUCACUCUCCUUUUGGCUGGCAGGAAGAUGAGCUGUUCACAUAUUCAUAUGACACACUACCAUUUGAAAACCAAAAAACCAGAAGCAUGCAAUGUCAUAUAUGCAGUCAUCGGCAAAUGUACAAAGCACCCUGCAGCACAGCAUAGUUACACACUCCUUAGUAGGGAAUGGGGGAGGAAAAUUGUACGUAAGAACCAGAUGUUGGCUGGGUAUGCUGGCUCAGGCCUGUAAUCCCAGCACUUUCAGAGGCCGACAGGGGUGGAUCACUUGAGGUCAGGAGUUUGAGACCAGCCUGGCCAACAUGGCGAAACCCCGUCUCUAACAAAAAUACAAAAAUUAGCCAGGUAUGGUGGCACAGGCCUAUAGUCCCAGCUACUUGGCAGGCUGUGGCACAAGAAUCACUUGAACAUGGGAGGUGGAGGUUGCAGUGAGCUGAGAUCGUGCCACUGCACUCCAGCCUGGGCGACAGAGUGAGACUCCAUCACAAAAAAAAAAAAAAAAAAAAAGAACCAGAUGGUUGUCACAAAGUGAUAAUUUGUUUGCCACUGGCAGUAAGAUAAAGAAGAGAGAGAUCUUGGGUGGAAGUGACAAGCCAGAGGCAAGGGCUGGUCCGAAAAGGCUACAGAGAGGAGGUGUUACCUAAGAUUUUCCUUAGAGGAUACCCUCGGGCUCUGGUUAAACAAGGAGAAACAGGGAGGGUAUGAGAUCAAAACAGGUUGCCAGUCAGCAAAAGUUUACACAUGCAUGCAUAUGUAUAUGCAACUUCUUCUCCAGCCAGUGAAAACAUUUUCUUGGCAUAUAGGCUGAACUUCAUUAAUUCCCAAGGGCAAUACAUGCUGUCAGUGCUAAGGAAUGCAAACCCACCCUUCUUCACUUACCAGCACAACUACUCUCUUCCCCAGAACACAGAGCGGGAUCAACUGUGCCAGCAGGUGUUGGGCACAUCUGUGUAGACUCCACAUGCAUCUCUCUCUGACAUAAGGGAAUUUUUACUCCUACACACCAAAGAACUACACUCCCUUAAACACCUUCACUGGUUCCCACUGCCUGCCCACACAAGGUGUGUUUUGUGGAAUAAUUAUUCUGCAGCUGUUCAUAGGUGUCAAAUACAUUUGGAAAUUGUUGCACUUAGUGUUAAAGAGGGCUUUUUCUCUGCAGGACUUCAAAGAUGCUUUAAUAAGCCAACAUGCAUUGGGAAUCUCCAAAGGGGGAACAUACGCAGCAUUUCCCAAACUUGUAAAUUACUGAUCUGUUUUCAUAGAGCAUCACUUGGGACUAACAGUCUGUGAAAGGCACUUUGGGAAAUGCGGGACUGACUAAGAAGGGCUUCCCCUAGUGCCCUCCACAGUCAGACGCUGCCUGCUUCUCAGGAGUCCUGCACAAGGCAGACUGCCCCCAAGACGCUAUUUCAGCCUACUCACCAUAUGUAUUCCCACCUGUGGACCUCUGCUCACACCACCCCCGGCCCAAAUUAUGCUGUUCCUUCUCUUCUCAUUGUAAGUCAACCCACUCCUCUCGUUGUAAGUCAACCCAAGUCCUUUCUUCUCUGGAAAGCUUUGCUCAUCCCUACCAGGACUGGAGAUGCCUUGUGCCUCAGACCAUCUUAAUAUUGCUUUAUGUCACACUCAUUUAGCUUUUGAUAGCUGGCUUCUACCUCUAUCUCUAAUACCUUGCAUAUGGUAGAAUUAGUAAAUUCUUUAUUAAAGAAGAAGAAAAACAGGAAGGAGAUAAAAGAGGAGAAUCACAAAGAAAGAAGUAGGGGAGGGGAGGAGGAGGAUGGGAGGAGUAGAGAAAGAGAGGAGAAAACCAGGGAGGUGACAGUGGGAAAGAGAAUUUCACAGGACCUUGGACGUGGUACUUUGAUUGAGUGUAGGUAAGAGGCAAAGCCCAGGGAGCGCAGCCUUGAGUACUUAGUGGAAAAGAAGAUCCAUGAGGUUCUGCGUAUAUGACCAUCCAAGGCAGCUCCCAGGAGGUGUUCCUGGCACCAUGCCACACUUAGCUGCAGGGCAGUGCCCAUUCAUAAGGUGUCAGCUCUAACCAGUGAGUGCAAUACCUAAGAGCAGGCGCAGACUGUGACCCCUUAACCUAACCUAUGCUUUAUGAUAAAAUAGAUACAUAUUUAUAUUUGUACUAUUCAGAAAACAGCAUAUGUAUCCAUUUCUUGGGGGUUUUCUUGUAAACAACAUAAUACAAUAUCCAGUUAGUACUGAGGUGUUUUUGAGACAAGGUCUUGCUCCAUCACUCAGGCUGGAGUGCAGUAGAGUGAUCACAGCUCACUCUAGCCUUGACCUCUGGGACUCAAGUGAUCCUCCUACCUCUGCCUCCCAAGUAGCUGGGAUCACAGGUGCAUGCCACCAAGCCUAGCUAACUUUUUUUAACAUGGGGUCUCACUAUAUUGCCCAGGCCAGAGUGCAGUGGUGAACAUAGCUCACUGCAGCCUCAAAUUCCUGAGCUCAAGUGACCCUCUCACCUCAGCCUCCUAAGUAGCUAAGACUACAUGUGCACAUCACCUUUUUUUUUUUUUUUUUUUUUUUUUGGUAGAGAGAGGGUCUCACUAUGGUGUCCAGUCUGGUCUCAAACUCCUGGCCUCAAGCAACCCUCCUGCCUCAGCUUCUCAGAAUGCUGGUAUGACAGACAUGAGCCACCACCACACCUGGCUAUUACUGUUAAACAAAAUUAAUAACAUACAAAGUGCAAAUUAUAUAACCCUAAAGCAAUCACUGUCAAGAGACCUACCACUAAAGCCAGUGCCUUCGUUUCACAGAGGAGGGGCCUAAAAGCCACAGAGCAGAUUGAGCUGUGACUAGAACCUCAAAUCUAUGGCCUAGUGCACUCACUACAUGGACCAUCUGAAGCGCUGCUUCUCAUGGCUGGGCAGCCUAUAAUCUCUUUGUCAGCCAGAUGGCCAGUUGCCUGAGAUGGGAGACACAAGAAACAUUCCCACAUCUGCUUCCUGCUUUUAACUCACAUAAAAAUGGCCAGUCGGUUUAACAAAGCUAUUUUCCUAAAGGGACCAGAGCUUCUAUUUUUUCUGUACAUUUAAAACGUGCCAAACAAAAUGACACAUGUUGUCAACAAGAUGCAACAGAUAUCUUCCCACAAAGCCUCUUCUUUGUAAGCUGUCAUGCCAGUUCUGUUGAUGUAGUUACCUUCCGCAAAGACCAGCGGUCUUGCCAGAGCUCCACCCUGGAAAAGCUCAUCCUGUGGAAGCACAGCUUGGUGGGGUCGCCAGACUCCUGUCUCUAACACACUGUUAAAUGCCUAGAUGUAUUUCUUUCAUGCUUGUGCAGAAAUUCCAUUUCAGAGUGUCGGGGCAACACCUAAGUCAGUCUCCCACAUGUGGGUCAUGGAAAGAGCCAGGGCCUGGACGCCAGGAGGCCUGGGUUCCAGUCAACAUUCCCUGUGACUUUUACAAGUCGCAAGUGGAUGACCAUGCCCCCAUUGCCAGCAGCCUUGGGACGUAUGUGGGGGCACUAAGCAUAAUGGGCCAGUGUGGGGCAUGGGAGGGGGUCAGCCCAGCUGCUGUGGUCCCUCUGCCAGCCCCCAGGGCAACCCACAGCCAGGCAGUCUCAGCCAGGGCAGGACAGGGGCCAGGGCCAGAGCAGCGCCUCCACACUGAGUCACAGCCAGCCCUGUAGGAGAAAAACAGCUGAAUGUGGGUGAGAACCUGAACAUCCAUAACAGCCUGGUCCAGGAGAGCAUUUCUGGGUCCUGUGAAGAGGAAGAAGAGAAAAUGAUGUUGGAAUCCCCAGGUUAAGGAAAACCAAGCCAUUCCCUGGCCUGCAAGCUGUAUCACUUCCUCUGUAACUGUUUCUCUCCUUCUGAGCACUGGUACCUGGUUUGUGGGACAAGAAGACAAGUGACAUGAUCAAAACAAAGCUUUGGUUUGUAUUUCCUUCUACUCCUUGUAAAUUUUAUUCAUUGAGAGAGAUUUUUCUCCUGCCACCACAUACAGCCAUGGCAGGCCCUGUAACUGUUCAGUGUAUUCUUAGGCUAUAAGCAGGUCCACCCUCAAAAACAAACUCCAAAUUCAGUCAUAGAAAGUACAAUCCGAGAGAUUAAUCAAAACCUCCAACUUGAGCCAGGGUAAACCUUCCUUCCUCCCCCAGCUAGGCUAAACUCCAACCCCACCCUGUGAAAAGGCAGGAUGAGGUUGUCUCUCCCCUGUUUCUCCAUUUUGCUCUUCUCCUCCUAGUCCCCACCCAAGUCUGUUAGCCAAUUUCUUACCCCUCCUUGGUAGGGGCAGGUGAGCAGAGGUAGGAGAAAAAGUAGACCUUCCUUGAACUAGUCCCAUUAUAAGCUGGUCUGUGCUCUGUGGGCCCAGCCUGUGUUUAACACUGACUCUCUUUUUUCCCCUGGGGUGCUCCUUGGAGCUCUUUUGGGAUCUUCCUUCCAGUAGUUUCCUUGACACAGGCAGAUGUUUCUUUAUUCCCAGUGUUUGCUUGUGGUGCUUUCAUAGCCUCUGGGUCUAGCAGUCACCUCCAGCUUGUUACUGCCGAAGUCCCUCUGUCCUAUUACAUAGCCUCUUGGACAGCAUCCAAGAUGACUCUGCUCUGCACUUCCUCUGCACGACCCACAUCUGGUCCACAAGAAAGACUUACAGGACGCAUGGAUGGGCGAACCCAAUUGCAGCCCCUCCAUCCUGCUGCACAGGCUGCCUCCACUUUCUCAGACAUGAGAACUCUGUAUUCGCCAUCUUCAGGGAACCCAUUCCAAGCUCUCCAAGUAGCCCCAUGGGGACAGCCUCACUGCACUGGAGGGGAAGCCCAGGGAAGCCCUGAUGAAAUCUCUACUGGAAGGGUCUCUGGAGACUCACAGCACAGCAACUUUUCUCUCCAAGAAAUCCCUUCAUACAUCCUUCGCCCUACCCAGGCCCCUUUUAUAGCCUUCAUCUGGCUGAAGAGUCCAAGCAUCAUGAAGCCAGUUUACAGAUGUUUCCCUAUUAGGCAACUUAUUAGAAUAUCUUACAGCUCAGAGCAUAGUCAAAACUUCCAUUUUAACAUUCAUUACAUGCUUAUCUCAGAUUUUAAUUAUCCACCCAUUUAAAGAUAUGCCCCAUGGGGCAUAGACAUCAUCUGGUUUAUUCACUACUACAUCCCAGCUAUGAUAGGCACUCAGUGAAUAAUUAUUGAAUUAACAAAUUAAUGUUUAAGUAAAGUAGCGUCCCCUCCUCAGCCUGCAAGCCAUAUGGGAGUGGGAACUGAGAUUAUUUGUACUCAAUAUUUGCCCCCAGUAGAGUCUAGUAGAAUGCUGGCCCAUAGUAGGUACUUUAAAAGUGGCUUUGAAAAAAAUUAAUGAACCUGGGCAAAAGGCCACAUUUCUCUAGGUAAGAUUAAUGGAGGCUCUACUGACCCAGAGCCUCUCUCCCAUUCUUCUUCAAAUUCUUCACUUGGCUACAUUGCUUAAAACUCUGCUAAUCAGAUAUUCUAUCAGUUCAAAGCUUUUUUAACAACAAAGAUAUCACCACUGAGAAAAUGGAAGCCAGUCAUUUACACUUAAGAAGACAAUUUGAUACAAGGAAUGUACAGGAACACUGUCAGGGGCCUGAAGAGUGCUAGGAGGCACUUAAGAGAAAGGAGAUGGCAGGCCCAGAGGUGGGAGCUCUUUUAGAGGCUUGCCAGGGAGACCGUGUGUGCCAGGAGGUGAAAAGGAAGUGGCAGACAAAACCAGUAUUUUUUAGAGUUUGCCUUUAGCAAGCUUCCUUCUACACAAUUUUUAAGAACCAAUUAAUUUUUAGAGCUAGAAGGAACCUUUUAUAUCAUCAGAUUCCAUGGCUUCCAAACAUUUUUGAGCCAAAAAACUUCUUCUUUCAAUGAAAUCUUACCAGAAAGCCAAUAUGAAAAACAGGUAAGCGGAGAUAAUCUGGUUCUAGAUAGGUGGUUUUAGGUGGGUUCUAGAUGUUUGGGCUGGGAAACCAAACAUGCACAUACACAUACAUAUCUAUUAAUACAUACAUACACACAUGCAUAUACAUACAUAUACACACAUACAUAUAUGUAUAUACACACAUAUAUACAUGCAUGCACAUAUAUACACACAUGUACACGCACACACACGAUUUUCUCAGAGUAGUCUUCAAACCUCCCCCUCAGAAUCACUAAGUGCUCCUGAAACACAGUGUGUCCAGAUACAAUGAAAGACCCACAGUCAUCCUCACCCAUCACCAUGUCCCAGAGACUGGGCUCCAGAGGUCAAAAGAAAAUGAAAGACACUAGACCCUACUGCUCCCUCCCCUUGAUCAAGGAGCAAGACCUUGUCCCCUCCACUUCCCAAACUCUUUGUCUAUUCUGUAAAUGUUUGCAAAUCAAAGAAAGAGCCCUUUCACGGGACCACUGAAGACUUCCCCCAUGAGUUUAAUACUACCAACAAAUAUUUACUCAGUUCUUCCUACAUUCUUGACCCGUGUUUGGCACUCAGAACAAGUGACCAUUGUCAUUGCUAAGUUAACCAGCACUCUCUGGGUGCUGCCUGUUCAACCUUCUCUGAGCCAUCUCAAUUGCAGUUAAAUAUCCCACAUCUUUCCAUCUUUCCCCUAAAUGUGCUUUGAGACACUGUGUGAACUGAUCUGCUGAAAUGCAGAUAAACUACAUCUGUCAGCCCCCAUCUAUGAAUCUAGUGAGACUUGCAAAAAAAAUGAGGUUUGGCACAAUUCGCUUUCGGCAAACCUUUGCUCCCAGGGAUGACCACUGUUUCCUGUCUUUGGAACUUAUAAGCCAUCUGUUUAAUAAUCUGUCCUAGCUUCCUGCCAAGGACUGACAUGCAUCUCACCAGUCAGCAGUUCCCACCAAAAGUGCUUAGGGCCUCAGGGCCUCCCAUCCCUGCUGCUGGCCAGUGUCCAGCUCACACAAGUGGCCCCCUCAUCCCUAAUGAGGCCUUACUGGAGAGGAUGGGCCACUCGCCUAUUGCAAGUGCACAAUGUGAAUCUGAGAGUUCAGUUUCGUGUAAUUAUUUCUGUAUCAACAACAUCAACUCAGGGCUCAAGAUCACCUAGGUGAGAGUGUAAGAAUAGAGACUUUCCAAUUAGCAGAGCUAGGUUUGAAACCUAACCCCACCACUCACUGUGUGGUUUUGACUAAUGACCCACUCUGAACUUGUAAAAUGAGCCCAUGGGAGCUCAUGGUUGUGAUUACUAAAUGCAAUAUAGUGCAUUUAGUAUAUGCAAUAUUGUGCAUGAAAUGCUCAGCACAGUGGCUGGUGCAUAUCAGCAUUGUUAUUAUUAAAAGAAAAUACCCUUAUUAAUUAACUACUGCAAGUCAGGGGUGGGAAUGGGACAAGGAGCAGGCCUGGGUGGAGGGCCUGUGUGUGAGGGGACUAUUCAUAGGUACCCAGUUCAAUUCUUUUUCUAGGCACUAGCGGUAUAUGGAAAAGAUCCUCUUCCCUGUAGAGCUCGAAUUUCAUGGAGAAGAAAUUAUGAGAGAAUGUCUGUCUCCUUUCAGUCACCUGGCUUGUGGAUUUGCUAUCCCCAGGUGAAACCAAGGCCCUACUGGACUGGCCCCAGGCUGAUUCCUGGAGGAAGCUACUUUUCAGAGGGGCACACAGGUUAUCUCAUGGACAGGUUCUUCAGGGUGUCUUCUAACCCCCAGAGAUCUGAGGACAAAGGAUUCCUAUCAUCUCCUUGAGCAACUGUUAAGGAGGCAGAGAGGAGCCGGGUGGAAGGUCCUCAAAUGAACAAGGUCAACCAAGCGGCAAAGGUUCUAACAGUUCAUUCUCCUGGCCCUCGUGUGAAAACUGCAGAAAAGUCACCCCAUGCCUUUGUAGAUUAAAAUUAAGCUGGCAAGAUUCAGCUGUAGUGGGCUUUAGAUGGUCUGGGUCACUUUCUGAAGCCAAUUUCUUUUAAAAGCUCUCAAGCUGAAGGCAAUAAUACUAAAUGACAGCUGAGAAUUUUAAGUUUUAUUUUCAGUUCUGGAAAAAAAGGGGGGGAUGGGUAUCCCUUUAUAUUUUUAUACUGAGGACAAGUCAGUAGGGAGAUUUCAUUGUGUUGUCGGUGUAAAAGUAAUCAACUCAGUGUGCCAUAGCCAGGAAUUCAAACUGCUUGGAAAAUGCAGGUGUAGUUAGCCCUUUUCACUGGAAAAUACACUGGACAGUGACGUGGGUAGGUUAAGAGCAGAGAGCUGCUGGGAAGAUCUGCAGAAAGGGCAAGGUUGUCUGCCACAUUCCUUCUUCCUAAAGCACUUAUGCCAUCUAGGUGAAACUGGGCUGUUCUAGGAGGGGUAGUACUUCCUGCUUUAACACUAACCAACUUGAAAAUCACACUGGGAACAAAACCAUGACAGCCAGGAACACAGCACCAGAAGGUGAAACCCAGCCCAGAGUAUGUAGCCGCUGUAACUUACAGCAUUAAUAAAAGGCUUACAGAAAACCAAAGGCCUAUUAAAUAUCCCUGCCCCACCUAGACUCACCACUUAAUUGGGGUGGGAAGCCUCAAGGCAGAAGGAGUAUAAAUGGUUCCAAAGGCCGGAGCGACUUUGGUCUGAAAGGCCCAGGUCCAAUUAAAACAAACCAGGAGCCUUAAUAACUGCUCCGUUUUGACAUCGGGAAACCCACUCUAAAUUCUGUCAAUGGCUAUGAUGUAGAGAUUUUAUUAUGAUUAUUAUUUCAUGGACUUAAUGAAUGCUUAAAAGAAUUAAGCCACGAUAAGACCCAAGGUCAUAACCUCCUCAUCCACCACGAAAGGGCAGCUUGCCCCAGAGCCAGCCUCUUCUUGGGAGGCAGUCCCCAGGUCCCUGGGUUCUGGUGGUCCUACUAUUUGAUUUGGGGUUGAUUUAGAGCAUGCACAAGCAAAAUGGGCUGUAGGCCCUUGCCGUGACUGUAAAGGCUUCUGUGUGCGUAGUCAUCUCCUCAACCUGCCAGAAAUUCCCCAAAAGGAGAAAGGUUAAUCCCUCUAACUUAAGGAAUUUUAGCCUAGGUAACAUCACAGUGUCCACCAGAAGGAGGACACACACACACACACACACACACACACACACACACACCCUACUGAUGAAAAUUAGGUUAUCUAUCUCCCUUAACCAACUGGCUAUGAGUACAUCUUGUUCUUUUAUGCAUUCACCAUUUUUUUGUAUUGCUAAUGAGCCACAAUAAGCAAUAUUGAGUAUUUCUUACUGAGUUGUAUUGAGUCCUUCACCAUGAGCCAGGCACUAUAUUAUAUGCUAAACAAGUUCAUUUUCUUUGUGUAUCACAAACCUUUCUGAUUAUAAGCAGUACUUAUUAAGUGUUAUGUUAUCAACGUAUAUUAAAAUGACAAAUUCUCUUGGUAAUCAUGAUUCAGUAGAUACAGGGUGGGGUUUUGUCCUCUGUUUUUAACAAGUGGCCCAAGGGAUGCUUAUGAUCAAGUCAUUGUCCUAGAAAGCUUCCCAGCUUGUCCGAAACCUCUUGACUGAAGUGCCCACAGACUCCUCCACCAUCAGAAGGGUCCCCUUUCCCACUGUGUUGAGCCCUCCCAUAAGCAUCUCCAUCCUUCCUGAUUUUUUUUUGAACAGGCUUUUAGCUGCUGAAAAGCAAAAUAAUACCCUCAAAGGAAAGUUUUAUUGGAGGGAAACUGUCUCAAACUGCAGACAGUAUCUUUUUGCAUUUUAUUAAACCUGCAGAGCUAGAGCCAUGAUUUAAAGCAAUGGGUGGCCAAGUAACUUGAAGUCUAUUUUAGUUACCAUUUUUGUUACUGAUGGUUCCACCUACUCAAAAGAAAAAAUAGUGAAUAGAAAUAUUAAUAUAGGAAGCCAAGGCAGUCUCAUGGCUGCAAAGAAACAUUGGUUCUGUGCCCUGACCUUCCUCUUUGUGGCUCAGAUUUUCCACCUAGGGGAGGGUGAUUUUUGCUCUCUCCUCAUCAUACAGAGCUGCUGAAGGGAUCCUUAAGAGAAGGCUCUUCUAGACUUUGAGUUUCCUGACCAAAAUUAAACCGUUGCAGUUGUAGUAUCUUUCUCUUAAAGUGGGUUUCCUCAUUCACCAGACAUUACCAUUAGAGCCUGGAGUGAUGAGAAAUGUCUAAAUGUAGGUAAAUAGACAAAGACUUCCAGAGUUUUCCCAUGUAUUGUCAAUGGGGCAACAAGGCAUUGCCCUGAAAUCUCUGGGUGUGUGACAUUAAGAUUACAGCUUGUAUGUAGAACAUAAAAGGCCUCUUUAUACUCUAUGAUUAUGAAUUAUGAUAAUCUUUCUUAAAGCAAGUAUGUAUAUAUUGUUAUUUAUUCUUUAAAACAACUUUUCAAAACAUAUAUUCUCUAUCUCAGCUUAAGUUGAAUGUACUUCUUAGAAUGAAUUUAUGUAGCAAGUCAACUCUGCUCUGUGCAGACAGGGUCAGUUGUCUUCUCUCUGAGCAGAUUGUUGGGGGCCAAUCCUAGCUAACUAUGAAACUAAAGGAUGGAACAGUUGACCCCUGGAAGUCCCUAUGCUCCAGUGAUCUCUCUCCGUGUAUCAAAUGGUCUUGAAACUCUUAAAAAGAUUGUUAUUACCUCAAAUAGAAAGGGUGAUUGUAUUUGAUAUAUCCUGGGAACACUGCUCGUAUGCACCAUCUUAAUAAAAUGAAAGCCUAUUAAAUAAGACAUCAUUUAAGGAAUAGAGGAGAUGGAUGGAAUGCCACAGAAAAAUGUAAUGAAUAUUCAUUUAUAGAUUGAGAAGUGGAAACAUAUGGGAAGGCUUGUUUGGGGUUUUUAUUUUUUGCAACAAUAUGGGGCUCUUAAAUGACACUACACAUUUAUAACAGCUACCUGUUGACCAAGAGCUGUAAAGGGACUCUCCAAUUACAGAGGAGCAGAGCCCAGUGGAUGCUGUUCCUCAAAAUAGUCAUCUCCCAUUGAGAUCUAUUUAAGAAUACCUUUCAAAGAGUAUCUUUACAGUUUUAUGCACCUAAAAUACAGUAAAAUCUCACAUAAGGAGAUAUCAGAGUUGGGGGGCUUAUUAGCUCAUAUACUGAUACAAAAGUUUAUUUCUUUUCAGUUCUCCAGAUUAAGCCCCAUUUUGUCCCUAUAUCAUAAUUCAGCUUUCAUUUGAGUGAGAGUAAAAGGGGAUCUAAGAAUAAAGUAAAAAUAAAAGAGACUCAGUAGCAUCUUAGUUCUGAGACCCAGAGACCAUUUAGGAGGCUACUGUAAUGUCAGGCAGAAUAACAAAGCAGAAGGUGGCUGGGGGUGACCCUGGAGUCACUGGAUGGUGAAGAAGGGGUGGAGUUCUGAUCACAGAACAACCAGAGAGAGACUCUCAGUGAGUCAAUUAAAUUUUGCCUAAACUUAGUUUUCCCCACUACAAAAAAAAAAAAAAAAAUUCCUGUUGCAUCACCUCAAAAUAGGAGAUCCAUUGAAAUGUGAAAAUGAUGAAAUGUGGAAAUAAAUAUGUACUUUGCAAAUAAUAACAAUGGCUGUGUGGAGUUAGUGAGCCCAGGAUUUUCUCUUCUCUUUUUUCCAUAGAGUUUUUAGUGCCUUUAAUUGCUUUUAUUUAAUAAAAGAAAUGGUAAUUUAAGAGGAGAGAGAGAGAAGCAGAUGUGAGCUUUAAGGGAUGACUAUAGAACCAGAUCUAUGAUGUCUGAGCUAGACUCCUUAGCGGGUUUCGGAAAAAUGUUCCAGCCCAUUAAUUCAAAGCCUGAGUGAGGAGGUGUGAGUGACUGGUCACACCAGGACACAGUGGUUCUCUGCAGUGGCCACUUCCGCUGACAUUACAUCCAACACCACCAUCACUUCUGUGGCCCAGGUCUCCCAGGACACUCAUUUGCAAGUUCACCAUUGUUAAAAAUCACUCUCCUGUCUUCUUGUCAUUCUCCUUGUCUAGUGAUCCCCAAGGUUUCUGGACUCAGAGCUUUGGUAUGAAAUUCAAUCUUCACUUAGUUUACAAUUUUUUUCUUCACCCAGUGACAGUGUGAUGAGGUAAUGUUUUCUAGCAGACCGGCUCAAGAUUUGAACCUUUAAAAGUGAAAAACAUUGAGAGCUUAAAAGGCCAGUGUUCAAUAUUCCUUCAGUGAUUUUAAGUGGACAGUAAUGUCUUCCCAGAUAUUAAUUCCAGAGUGACAGAACUAUCAUUGUCUCCAUCUGCCCCCACAGCAAAGUUGUAGUUAGUCAUUCUCUGUAACAGUAGUAAUGAACUCUCUAGUUAUAAACAAGCAACCCAAGAAAAAUUUCAUUUCCCCAGAGACCAUUUAGGAGGCUACUGUAAUAUCAGGCAGAAUAACAGCAGACCGGAAGGGGGCUGGGGGUGACCCUGGAGUCACUGGAUGGUGAAGAAGGGGUGGAGAGCGAAAAGAUGCUGGAGGAGGAGGCAUCCUUAUCCAGGUUGCCUCAGACUCCUGCAGAAGGGACCCAGCCCCAGCCCUUGCAUAUCAAGAAGAGAAACUCAGAGGACUCUUCUCAUUCACAAGGAAAUGUUCUGAAGCUGUGAGACUCUGACAUUUGUGGUGUAUAAACCACUUUCGCAUGGCCCAGAACCUUCUGUGAGGUUCCAUUCUGCAUAAAUUACAGUUUUGUAAUCACUUUUUCUAACUGAUGCUUUUUGUGCUCUUUAAUGUGCAUUCAGAUAUGAGGGGAGGUGGCAUCCUUUUAUUUAUUUAAAGAAUGCACGUCUUUAUGAUUUGCCUUCAGAAAGAGGCUCUUUACUAUCAGCAUGUCCCACCUUUUGGGGACCCUGAGGUCCAGUGUGGAGAAGCAAGGAGCUGGCUCUCCUCCAGCCUGGAGUAGCUGUGAUCAGCCUCAAGUCACCUCUACUCAGAAGGUCCCCAGAGGCCUGUGCAGGCUGGCAGAUGGCCCAGGACUUGAGAUCACUUCAAGUGUGCAUGGAUAGGGAGGAAAGCUAUACAGACUCAUGUGACCUAUAACUUGGACAUUAACAGACCAAAGGAAAUGCCAUGCCUUACUCAGAGCCAAUUUCUCUUUAGAAGAGAAUUCUAAAUUCUAAAUUCUCUAAUUCCUGUGUCACUCUCCAAGUCCCCUGCAGUCUUCCUCCCAUUGUCUUUUCUCUUUUGUUUGGUAACUUUUCUUUCCUACGAAUUUACCAGCCUGAAGAGAUGAAAGUCCUGAGUUUUCCUACUUCCUUAUUACACAAAUGGAGGAAUAAGGAAAGCUGUUGUUGGAAGGAUAGCACUCAGUAGAUGAGCAAAGCAACUCAAGAUUGUCUCCUUUAGCUCCAGUAAGUUUGAUCCAAACUGGGAGGUCACCGAUGAAGCUUAGAUCAAACAAGGGCCAACAUCAUUGUCAUCAACACCAUCACUGUCAUCAUCAUAAUGACAAAAAUGACCCAAAAAUGUUCUAAUUUUUGAGGAGGUUUGCUUAAAGUGAAGAAGGUUUUAAUAUCUUCAUUGUGUGCUAGAUUCUUUAAAUCAGAAUAAUCAAACUGAGGUGUUAAGAGAAAGAAUAUCAGAAAAUCAGGCAAGACCUUGCUUAAGGAAAUAUGAAUUGCCUAAAGGAGGAAACGGCUAAAAAUUACAGAUGAUUUGCUUGAUCUCGAAUGUAGGUGUAUACCCAAUUUCAGUUAACCUUUGGGUAUGUGAUAAGCAAAAACCACACCUCCACCCUUCCCUUAGAGUUUUCAACUCUGGCAUAUAAACUGUGUUCUCAUCUCCACCCGGUCCUGCCAAUGACAAGUUGAAUGCUGUCUACUAUAACUGCAUGGCCAGGGCCCCUGAGUAGCAUUUAAGGUAAUAGAAAAAGCCAGCUAGUGUGCCAAUAGCCUUUGAGAGAUGACCUGUACUGAUACAGAUUCCAGUUUAUCUUUGGCAUAAGCCAGCCAAAAACACAAAUAGGAUCUCCUCAGAAGCACUUUCAAGGCUUACAGACUGGGAAUUUUCCUUUUGAUACCAUCCUCAUCAAUCGUCAGAUUGUGUAUGAUCAUUAUUUCAGAGACUCAAACCAGAAGUAAUGUUCAUGUAACUACCAACCUUCUGAAACAGAAGGUUGAGAUCACUGUUGGUUUUUGUUGACAGAAGAUUGUGGCAACACACUUUGAAAGUAGGCGAAAGGUAAUCCAGAAGGGAGAGAGCCUGCAGGGCCCCACCGUUGCUCAGGCCCUCUCUUGACCAGAGCAUAAAGGAUUGGCAGACACUCUGGCAGGAUCCUGCACAGCAGUCUUCAGAUACAGCUGCUCUUCCAUCCCCAAACAUGAAAAUCUGUGGCUCCUGGCAGCUUGGAAAAUGUCAUUUUCCCAUGAAAAUGACGUAAGAGGCAGAAGAGUCUCAACUCCACUCUCUGUUACAAAAGUAUUCCUCCUAAAAUAUUAAUAUUUGCGCUUAGUCCAUAUUAUACCAUGUGACUAACAUAUGAAAAGAAAUCUUCUUGGAGAUUAAA